ACAUGGUCCCCCCACCCCCGAUGUUUGCUGAAAAGCUCAAGGUUUUAACAUAUAAAUCAUAUAAUUUCCAUAUUCUGUCUUUUGACGGAGGAAGAUGUGCCUGUUUCUAAGGGUUUCAAAUUGUAAGUUUGUAAACAAAUUUUAGUUCGGCUUAGUUAUUAUCAUAUCGGACGUCCAGAUAUGUGUCGACGUCUCAAUUGACCGAGGAAGAACCGACCUACCGUAAAGGCCCGGUUUAGCGCCCGGCUAUCAAGAAGCGGUCCCCCCUUUGGCAGGCCCAACUAAACUGAAGCUAAAAUCUGAAAUGAGCCCCGCCUCGACGACUCACACUAAAACGAGCAUUCACGGCAAAUAAUCGAGGACUAGGCAUUUCCAAGUAAGGAACUAUACUGUUACAUAUUUUGUAUCCAAUCAACUACGACAUUAGUCAUGUAUGUAUUUCAACUUUAUUUGAUGUAUAAUUCAUUGAAUAAAAUAAUUUAAUACAAUAUAUUUCAUAUUUUUUCAUAAGUGAAGGCAACAAGAAAUCUCCAGCUACAAACUGCAAAAUCUGAAAGGUUCGAAAAAGCAAAAAAAAAAAAAGGAAUAGAGUUUU